ACCAAUCAGCCACGCACGCAAUUACAACAGACAAGACACGUGUUAUGACUGCAGGAGGUCAUCCGAAGGGAUCAAUACCGAACUUGCAACUAGAAACAAGAAGCUGAUAGCUGCCCACCUGGAGAAGGGGAGGUACAAGUUAUGAGUGUUCGGUCUCGCAAGUAGGUGACAGGCGGCGACCACCCGAUAAGCUAUAAAUUAACUGCGGGGAGAAGGGACGCCGACGCAUUUUCGGAGCACCGCCAAAAAAGACACACCCUCAUCCUAUCCUUUUCCAUACAUUCAUCCACCUAUAAAAGUCCAUGUGUGACCACGGGGAGGAGCCUUCUGUAACCGGAGUUCACACUGACGGGGCGAAGCUCUGUCUGUCCGACAACUAUCUUUAUGCAAUUUCGGACUUAGUUCUCAAGACAUUCCGAGAUUCUUAGUUUCAUUUAACUUCUGACUUAGAAUAACUCUGUAAAAAGUCUUUUGUAAAUUUUAUCUGAGAAUAAACGGAAACUCUUUAUUAAACUUAUAAAUUGCGAGUCACGCGGCUUAUUCAAACUUCUCGCCCUGAGAACGAGUCAACGUUAGCUGUCUGCCGUCACGAAGCGAAGCCGAGCCGAGACCCGAACAUCUUCACGACAAACUACCAGUAAUUCGAACAUUUUCGAAUUGAUGCAGGGUCGCCCGAUGGCUCUUACCGCAAUGCCCCCUGAAGUUGGCAUUUGAGCAACCCUCCGAAUAAUCCUGACCCCAGCACUGGACCUGAAAAAUGCGAAUUGGACAAAAUAAAUCGAUAAACAUGAUGAUUGGUCAAUACUUAGGUACUUAUGCUAAUAACUAUAAAGACUCAACGCGAUUGGUUGAAUUAGUGCCAAAAUUUAAAACUGUUCAAAAAGAGUUAAAAUGUAUAUAGUAAAUCAAUAAAAACGAAUUAUAUGCAUGACUAUUAAUUUGAGUAUCUAAAAAAGAUAAAAUGAAAUAAUAUAAUACGAUGUUAGAAAAUAUUAAAAUUAUGUAUGUACUUUUGAAUUUAUAAUCUGCAAAUCAUUAUUUAUGCACAAAUACAAAAUAUCAUGAGUAUUAUUACUAAUAUAUUGAAAAUUUACCUACCGAAUAUAAACAAUAUUUGCUUCUAUUUUGGUUUUAUUCAUUUCUAAUCUGCUGCUUUCAGCACUGGCAGGAUGAAAUUUGCACAGUCACUGCAACAGUAAUCUGAUUUGAAAUUUAAUGUGUUAAGUAUACACAUUUGUAACUGAAAAAUCGUUGCCCGCAAUAUAAGCGAUACCUAUAUAUAAGCGCUAAUAUUACUAUAUAUAGAUUUUCGAGUAUACUCGCGGAUUUUAGGAUUUUGAUUUUUGGCACUCUCAGCGAAUAUACGUAUAUCAUAUAAUUAGCGACUGAUACGGCAGAUUUUUUUUCAUAUAUUAUCGUUUGGAAUAAAAACACACUGAGAGAAAAAUCAUGGACUCGUUGCUGCGGUGAGUCCCCUGUGACGUAAGCCGUAAUCACGUGAUCACGUGAUUGAAUAUAAGCGCGUAAUUCAAAUUUUUAUUAAUAAAAUCGAGUAUAUUUUAUGUAUAUCUUAUAAAAUGAUUUAGAGAAAG